UACGAAGGGGGCUAGCGUUGCUCGGAAUCACUGGGCGUAAAGCGCACGUAGGCGGAUUGUUAAGUCAGGGGUGAAAUCCUGGAGCUCAACUCCAGAACUGCCUUUGAUACUGGCGAUCUCGAGUCCGGGAGAGGUGAGUGGAACUGCGAGUGUAGAGGUGAAAUUCGUAGAUAUUCGCAAGAACACCAGUGGCGAAGGCGGCUCACUGGCCCGGUACUGACGCUGACGGUGCGGAAAGCGUGGGGAGC
rnacentral:rRNA from 1 species